rnacentral:pre_miRNA from 1 species
AGCUUUUUGAAUCCGUACAAAGAUUUCGUCAUACCAACCCAUUAAGGCUGAUCAGGCUUCCAAGAUAAGUGAAGUU